rnacentral:lncRNA from 12 species
AACUGGAAUGGUAUCCGAAGUUUAUUAACAGAAGAUUCUUUUUUUCAGGUGAUCAACUUUUCCACUUUGAAGCACAUGUGUGAACCCAAGUCAAGUCCCAGCAUAUCCAAUAAUUUAGUAUGUUCUGUAAAGGCAUAAAUAAAAAAUUGGGCUGGGGGGGGAAUGAAUACGAAGUUAGAUUCCAGUUCAAACAAAAGAAGGAAAAACCUACUGUUGAAUGUUAAGAACAGUUCUGAAAAUUGUGGCUUCCUGCCCCAAAAGUUCCAGUAGAAUCUGUAGAGUACCCUGGGUGAAGAUACUCUACUGGGAAAUUAAAGUGAUUUUGACAACACCUAAGUGGUCCUCUGCACUUGGCCAUGAUCCUAUCAUACAGUUACAACAUAAAUGCAGUCUUCUGAGAAUAACAAUCCUUCAUAAGGUCACUCAAAGCAUGGCAUGAAUGGAGAAGAGUACCAUACACUAACUGAGCAGUGACAUGAAAUUAGCAAAAGAAAAUACAACUGUGUAAACCACUAUUCAGGUGAAGAAUAAAAUACUCAGACUUCCAGAAGAAUAAAGAAGG